rnacentral:rRNA from 1 species
ACGGAAGGCAGCAGUGGGGAAUAUUGGGCAAUGGGCGAAAGCCUGAUGCAGCGACGCCGCGUGAGCGAAGAAGUAUUUCGGUAUGUAAAGCUCUAUCAGCAGGGAAGAAGAAAUGACGGUACCUGACUAAGAAGCACCGGCUAAAUACGUGCCAGCAGCCGCGGUAAUACGUAUGGUGCAAGCGUUAUCCGGAUUUACUGGGUGUAAAGGGAGCGUAGACGGCAUAGCAAGUCUGAUGUGAAAUCCCCGGGCUCAACCCGGGAACUGCAUUGGAAACUGUUAAGCUAGAGUACAGGAGAGGUAAGUGGAAUUCCUAGUGUAGCGGUGAAAUGCGUAGAUAUUAGGAGGAACACCAGUGGCGAAGGCGGCUUACUGGACUGUAACUGACGUUGAGGCUCGAAAGCGUGGGGAGCAAACAGGAUUAGAUACCCUGGUA